UUAAGUUCAGCGGGUAGCCCUACCUGAUUUGAGAUCAGACGUCAAGAAGCUGUCCUCCCCAAGGAGAGACGUCUGUGAGCUCCAGUGAACCUCCAUCGCUGAAGGUUAAUGGUAAGAAACCACAAGCGUAGAUAGUUAUCACACCUGCGACGCUACCAAACACUGGCGAGCUGAUUUGUUUGAGAGGAGCCGACCACUGG
rnacentral:misc_RNA from 1 species